CGGGAGGCAGCAGUGGGGAAUAUUGGUCAAUGGGCGCAAGCCUGAUCCAGCCAUGCCGCGUGUGUGAAGAAGGCCCUCGGGUUGUAAAGCACUUUCAGUGGGGAAGAAAGCCUGGUGGUUAAUACCCGUCAGGAAGGACAUCACCCACAGAAGAAGCACCGGCUAACUCCGUGCCAGCAGCCGCGGUAAUACGGAGGGUGCGAGCGUUAAUCGGAAUUACUGGGCGUAAAGCGCGCGUAGGUGGCUUGAUAAGCCGGUUGUGAAAGCCCCGGGCUCAACCUGGGAACGGCAUCCGGAACUGUCAGGCUAGAGUGCAGGAGAGGAAGGUAGAAUUCCCGGUGUAGCGGUGAAAUGCGUAGAGAUCGGGAGGAAUACCAGUGGCGAAGGCGGCCUUCUGGACUGACACUGACACUGAGGUGCGAAAGCGUGGGUAGCAAACAGGAUUAGAUACCCUGGUAGUCCACGCCGUAAACGAUGUCGACUAGCCGUUGGGUCCUUCGCGGACUUUGUGGCGCAGUUAACGCGAUAAGUCGACCGCCUGGGGAGUACGGCCGCAAGGUUAAAACUCAAAUGAAUUGACGGGGGCCCGCACAAGCGGUGGAGCAUGUGGUUUAAUUCGAUGCAACGCGAAGAACCUUACCUACCCUUGACAUCCUGCGAACCCUUCGGAGACGAAGGGGUGCCUUCGGGAACGCAGAGACAGGUGCUGCAUGGCUGUCGUCAGCUCGUGUUGUGAAAUGUUGGGUUAAGUCCCGUAACGAGCGCAACCCUUGUCCUUAUUUGCCAGCGAGUAAAGUCGGGAACUCUAAGGAGACUGCCGGUGACAAACCGGAGGAAGGUGGGGACGACGUCAAGUCAUCAUGGCCCUUACGGGUAGGGCUACACACGUGCUACAAUGGUCAGUACAAAGGGUUGCGAACUUGCGAGAGUGAGCCAAUCCCAGAAAGCUGAUCUCAGUCCGGGAUCGGAGUCUGCAACUCGACUCCGUGAAGUCGGAAUCGCUAGUAAUCGUGAAUCAGAUGUCACGGUGAAUACGUUCC
rnacentral:rRNA from 1 species